AUGGCGGCGUCGAUAAAGCAUGCAAGUCGAAAGGGUUUACACCCUUGGCAAACGGGUCCGGAACGCGUAGGAAUUUACCUCGAAGUCGCGAAUAACUCGGAGAAAUCCGUGACAAUACGCGAUGUGCUCUACGGAGCAAAUAUUUACCGCCUCGAGAGAAGCCUGCGUCCUACCAGCUUGUUGGUAUUGUAAUGGCUUACCAAGGCUAUGACGGGUAUGGGGUGUGACAGCAUGGCCCCCAACAUUGGCACUGAGACCCUGGCCACACUCCUACGGGUGGCUGCAGUCCAAAAUAUUCCACAAUGGACGAAAGUCUGAUGGACCGACCCCGCGUGCAUGAACAACGGCCUUCGGGUUUGUAAACUGCUUU
rnacentral:rRNA from 1 species